rnacentral:rRNA from 1 species
UAGGGAAUCUUCCACAAUGGGUGAAAGCCUGAUGGAGCAACGCCGCGUGUGUGAUGAAGGGUUUCGGCUCGUAAAACACUGUUGUAAGAGAAGAAUGACAUUGAGAGUAACUGUUCAAUGUGUGACGGUAUCUUACCAGAAAGGAACGGCUAAAUACGUGUCAG